rfam:Mus musculus chromosome 12, GRC primary reference assembly.
UGGCUCAGUGGUUAAGAGCACUGACUGCUCUUUCAGAGGUCCUGAGUUCAAUUCUCAG